UUUAGGGACAACUAAGAGCGAGCCCGCUAAAGCCCGCCGAGCCGAGCCGCCCCUCUCCUCAACUCCCCGCACAAGCACACACCGCCUCCUCCUCCUCCUCCCCGUGCUCCCGAGGCCAGGCAGAGCCCCUCGGAGCUCCUGCAGAGGGGCACGUUUCACCCGCACCUUCCGCACUUUAGCAGCGCUCCCGGCUCCCGCACCGCAAACCGGCAAAGCAAACCAAAAUACCUGCUCCGGCCACGGGAAGCCAAGGCGCUGCCAGCUGCCGGCGCAGCCCCGCGGCCGAGGGGAAAUGGGCAGAAGCGGCUAUUUUUGCAGUAAUGGCUGAAGCGCCGGCAGUCCGGGUGCUGGGACAGAAACGCGAAAGAAAAGCUGGAGAGGGAUCUAUGUUCCAGAGCGGUCCCAGGUGCGCUGACCCCGCUGCUGCAGUGGAUCCCUGGCAGCCUGCGGCACCCUGCUCCUCCUGCUCGUGGCUGGGGCUGGAUUCCCCUGAGUGCUUGGCACUAGAAGAAUUUUUUAGGCUAGGCAGUGUUUUCAGAAAUGUUUUCAUUAAAACUGUAGCACUGCAGUAUCUGCACUCGGGAGAGCAAUGAAAAUUUGCUGGAUAUUAAUGUUUCACUGGCAGCAGUUAGUGGUGGCUAGAGGAAGACAGAAGGAAAUAGAGGACCUGGGAAGGUGAGGCUGCCUCUGAUGAAGAGGAGGGAAAAGCCAGUUUAUGGUUCUGACAUUUUCACAUGUUCCCAUGUGAAGCUCUGUUACAAAGGCUGAAAGAACCUUCAGCAUUUGGGACUCUCUGCAGGAGACCUCUGCCUCUCCCAGAUCUAACUACUUAGCACAUAGAUCAGUCAGGGCUGAAGGUUCAACAUACUGCUGUGUGAAAGGAAAGGCAAACCCUUAGAGUUUUCAGAGCAACUAACUGCAGCUCAUCUUUGCCUCCUUGCCCAAGUAGGAGGUGAAUAUCCUCUUUUCAUCUUAAAGAUUUCUUAUUGGACUUCAGCCUCUGUGCAUUCUGCUUCACAGAUGUAUCAAGUGAUGGAUGGUACCUAAUGCUAGGACCCUUGCAGAACUGAGACCUGACCACUUCGUAGUGUUGUAGUAUAAAAUUUAAGGAUACUAUAGUCAAAAUCUUCUAUAUCUGCUGGUGGACCAGCGUGUUUGAUGUUAAACGUGAAUUCUGAACUAGAAAAGAGAAACGUAAGACUCUUAUUUCAAGGGCAUUUGUAACAACUUAUUGUGGUAUAAGAAAUGCAGGUCCAGGUUCCCCCAUUUUGCUCUCCCACUAGGUAGGCAGCAGUAGCAUCUGCAGCUAUCUGCAACUGCAUCUCUGGAUGAGAAUGAAACUUUGCAUCUCUGUUCAAGACACUUUCCCUUCUGCUGGGUCUCGUCUGCCUGAGAUUCUUGCAUUAGCUAAAACAGUAAUUAUACAGUCAUGACACUUCUUUUAAAAUGGCUUGCACUAGUUUAUCUUACUUCCGCUAGGAGGCAGUUAAAGGUGAAACAAAAAGGCUUCAGUGGCUAAAAUAGAAAUGGUGGUGGCAGGGAAUGAUUUAAGUUAAACUGGUGCGAUGCUGGUUUUCGUUAGCCCAGGCUUGAGAGAGUGCAAAUGCUGGCUGUUAGACAGGAAACUUAAUUAAACAUCUGCUCUCUACGGUUAGGGGUACUGAAAUUUUGAAAACUUUUUUAUUUUUUAUUUUUUAUUUUUUUAUGAGUAGCCUUGGUGUGAAGAAAGAGACCCCAAACAUAGGCUAUAUCUCUUAACAAGUUAAAAAUCAAUUGUCUCUCUGUUAAUAGCCACAUGAAAACAAAACCUCACAGCUAUUCAGACACAUCAUCUGAACAUCUAAGAGCAAUGAAGAGAACCUUUAGCCUAACACAUGAGUAGAGUGGGGCCUGGAGUAUGUGCAUGCUCACCCAAUGCAGGCAUGCAGCCUCCUGCAGCUUCCACACCAGGAGGCCAUGUAACGCACACCUCCCUUCACCGGCUCUCAUGCAGGCAGCAUGCCCCAUCUUUCCAACUAAUAAAAGAAGUUUCCCCUGGUUUCCCCCUGUGUUCAGUAAGAACACAUAGAGGCAAAAAAGGAGGAGCCUCUGCAAGCCUGUGGAGCGAGAGGUGUUGAGAAAAUCCCGUGCAAUAGCAAGGUGGGCUUUGGUGAUGUGGGGUCACUGUGAGUACGGGGCAUGCUCAGGGUGAAUCAUGCAGCAGGAUGUGUAUGCCACUGAGCAUCUCUGAAUGUCCAGAAUUUUAUAGAGGAGAAAACAGGCUCAAAGAGUGACGCCUCCGGCUAUGUGCACUGUCAGAUUUGCUACUUGGGGAAACGGAUGAUCAUUCCUUUUUAUUUUGCUUCAUUUCAUUAUUCAUCCUGAAAGGAAGAGAGUUGUUAUAUGAAAGGUAUUUUUUAUUGUGGUGCUAAAGUGGCAGUUGUUCAGGCAGGUUCACAUCACAGUUUUAGAAAGGUAGCAAUUUGUGAAAUAGUAUUAGCCCAGCUGUAUAAAAUAAGGCCUUCAAAUACCAGUCAGUCUGGAAACAGAAAGAGACAAAGCCAAGGUACACAUUACUCUAACAAUUCAUGUAUAUUUGAGAGGCUGAAUUAUAAAUAAGCAGUUUAAACAACUCUUCAAGAAGAAUAAUAAUAAUAAAAAAAAAACAAGCUUCCAUAACUAUUUUAAAACUAGGUUAGCUUUCAUCUUUUCAUUUUUAUUUCUUCUAUUUUCUUUAUGCCAUGCUACUUCUCAAAGGCUACUAUGCACACACUGCUCUAGUUCUUUCUUUUUUCACUACUCUGAUGUCUCUUUAGUUGACUGAGAAGUAGUUAUUGAAGAAUUAUCACACAAGCUGUAGUUGCAAUUUUCUGUUGUCAUUGUUUUUAAAUUAUUCAUCAUAUAAUGAUAUGUUACAUUAUUUUUUCUGCUUAACAUGCAAGAAUACAAAACUUAAAAAUCCCUUUGUCAUUUAGACUGUGGGCUCUUCAGUACAAGGACUUUCCUCAUACUUCUGCAAAUCAAUUUUUUACAUGCUUGGAGAUACAUAUUGUUUAUUAUUAUUUUUACUUGCAAUACAAAAAUAAUCUCCAUAGACCAUGGGAAAUUUAAGCUUUAAAAGACAUCUGUUUAUGAAACAUCAUUUAAAAAAGAUCUUUGCUGCUACUGACUUAAGUUCUGAAAAGCCCACCUUUAGCUUAUGAUUUGUCUCUAGUAAACUUGAACAAAAUCUAGGUAAAAUUGAAAUAAAACACCUGCAUUCUUAAUUAAAAAAUAAAUUAAAAAUUCUUAUUCCAAAAUGUGGGAAUGAAGACUGGUUUUGUUUAAAACAACUCACAGUUCUAGUAAAAUCAUGAAAAGAAAAGCUCUCUUUCUUUGGCAAGAUCAAUUUCUCUGUCUCUUCAAGCUCAGAGGAGGCUAAUGCAUAUAUUCCAACUCAGCAACAAUUCCCUUUAUGCCUAUUAAUGCAUCAUUAAAGAGAGAUGGAAAUACAUGCUACUUUUUUUAUACAACAUGUACAAGUUCUGUCAGUUUAAACCACAUUUCUUUUACACGCCUGUUGCAAAACUUGAUGGAGGUUUUGCAAAUGUAAACUUCAUAGAAGUGUUAUUACCACAGUAGUUAAAUAAUUUUAAAAAUUGUGUAGUGAAACCUUUGGAGAGGGAGAAGAAGAAGCUCAAACCAUGAGCUGUGCAUAUGGGCUCAUUCUGAAGAAAAAUAAUUGUGUAUUCAAAGCACAAUAUUUUGUGCUUGUAAUUACGGGACACAAGAGCGAUUAUAAAUGGAUUGUCAUGCACCUAUUUUCACCCCAAUUUUAGUUGCCCAGGGGAAAUUUAAUUUUAAUAAUAGCUCACUACCUUAUUUGAUGUUUCUGCAUUUUUGUUUGAAAAGAGGUAACAAAGCAUGUUUGCAUGUACAUAUGCGUGGGCAUGUACAAAAUAGCAUGGAACAUUUAAAUAGAGUGUUAUCCAUUACUGUUAACAGCAUACCUCCUUCUUUCCCUUUGCAAACCAAAGGAUGCUCUUUGUUUUUUGUUUUUGCAUUGUUGUUGUGUUACAAAACUGAAUGAAGUAUUUCUUAAAGCUUGUGCUUAGCUCUAUUCGGAUGGAAUCUGAAAUUCAGAUGAAAGUACAGAUCAGUCUUAACUUUUUCCUUUAUUGCUUAUAAUGAUCCUUUUGUUUUAUUUGUUACUCAAGUUGCUCUAGAUACAUUUGUGUUUACAGUAAAUUUCAAUAAAAGAAUCAUCAGCUUUCACAGGUUUUAUGAAAAAAAAAAAAAACACUGUUCCAUAUUGUUUGACAUUUUGAAUUAGUAUAUCUCAGCCUCAGUUUUUUAAUGUUACUGGAGGAAAAAGAAAGCAACCACCUGCUCACCCAGUCAAAAACACAACUUUCCUCUCCAAUGCUAAAGGGAUUUCUCAACUGCUAACGGUAUUAAACAUUGAACUAGACUUAAUGAACAAGUGGAACUGAAGAAAAAAAUGUUCUCAACUCUGUAGGAAGAUAAGGAAAAAUAAAGGCUCUUAUUGUCAAAACUGAUUUAGUAUUAUAGCUCAAACCAGUAUUUAAUUCCAUUCGUUAACUUUCUUUAAAACUUCCAUAACCGGAAUUGUACAGUUUAGUAUUUGUUUUUCUUUAAAUUAUUUGAAAAACGACAUAGGUUAUUUUCAGAAUGAUGCAUAUAUACAUAUGCAUCUGAAAUAAAAAAUGUUUUAAAAAGACAUUUUUUCUUAUUCAAAUACUCAUGAUGAUGUUAUUAAUGU